rnacentral:rRNA from 1 species
GUGGGGAAUAUUGCGCAAUGGGCGAAAGCCUGACGCAGCCACGCCGCGUGAGCGAUGAAGGUCUUCGGAUCGUAAAGCUCUGUGGGGAGAGAAGAAGAAAGCCAGUGAAGAGCUGGCCAUGACGGUAUCUCCUUAGCAAGCACCGGCUAACUCUGUGCCAGCAGCCGCGGUAAUACAGAGGGUGCAAACGUUGCUCGGAAUUAUUGGGCGUAAAGCGCACGUAGGCGGUUUGGUAAGUUGGAUGUGAAAACCCUGGGCUCAACCCUGGAAGUGCAUACAAGACUGCCAAGCUAGAGUAUCGGAGGGGGUCGGAGAAUUCCCGGUGUAGAGGUGAAAUUCGUAGAUAUCGGGAGGAACAUCUGUGGCGAAGGCGCCGACCUGGACGAAAACUGACGCUGAGGUGCGAAAGCAUGGGGAGCAAACAGGAUUAGAUACCCGUGUAGUCC